rnacentral:tRNA from 1 species
GAGAAAGUGGCAGAGUGGCGAUUGUGGUUGGUUUGAAACCAAUUUAUGGGGGUUCAAUUCCUUCCUUUCUCG